CCUACGGGGGGCAGCAGUGGGGAAUAUUGCACAAUGGGCGCAAGCCUGAUGCAGCGACGCCGCGUGAGCGAUGAAGGCCUUCGGGUCGUAAAGCUCCGGCCUAAGGGAAGAAUAAUGACGGUACCUUAGGAGGAAGCCCCGGCUAACUACGUGCCAGCAGCCGCGGUAAUACGUAGGGGGCGAGCGUUAUCCGGAAUCACUGGGCGUCAAGGGUGCGUAGGCGGCACUGCAAGUCAGGAGUUAAAGCCCUCGGCUCAACCGAGGUAAGCUCUAGAAACUGGAGGGCGUGAGUGCAGGAGAGGAGGGUCGAAUUCCUAGUGUGGCGGUGAAAUGCGUAGAUAUUAGGAGGAACACCAGUGGCGAAGGGGAUUCUCUGGACUGCAACUGACGCUGAGGCACGAAAGCGUGGGGAGCGAAGAGGAUUAGAUACCCCUGUAGUC
rnacentral:rRNA from 1 species